GAAUCCAUUUACAUCCGGCCUGGAAGGUUUUCAGAUUAUUCCGAGCACGAUUAGUUUACUGUGUCACGACAAGUCGACUAGUUGGCAUAUGACUAGCGGAAGAAGUUGAAGUGUUAAUUGCUAUUUUUUUCAGUGAAAAAAAAAUAUGUAAUCGCACGACUCAUUAAUUAUGCAGAAAAAAACAAUUAGUCAUGAUAAAAUGCGUACAGAUUGGGCUUGCAACGGAAGUAUUAUCGGAGACACGGUCCCAUAAAAAGUGGAGAAAACCACCAGCAAAAGAAUUUAUUAAAAAUGGAUUUAAUUUAACCAAUCAUCUCGAGAAAAUGAAAAUAAUAAAAUAAAAUACAAUUAAAACUAUUUUAAGGAUGUUUUUCUUAUACAAAUAAAUAGAACACCAAAAGGAA